GACCUCCUGGAGGCAAGGGGUAUCCAAGCCAGCAACAAGAAGAAAGCGGUACUCAUUACUGAACUCAUGGCAGAGUACCGAAUGGAUGGCGAUUUGGUUCCCGAACAGGGGGAUUCGGGAGAAAAACAGGAACAGAUGGAGUUCCUGAGGCAGCUACAAUUUAGGCUGUCUUUUUAUGGGGAACACCCUUCAGCGGAAAUUUCCAAGACCAUGUCAGAGGUCCAGAAAUUCAUCUUAAGAAAACAGACAACAGCAGCCCCAGAACGCAGCUCUGCCACAAGAAGGUAAGCCUAAAAUACCAUACCAGGCUUUUAAAAUGUAUGUGGAGGCAGAGGAAGAUAUAGACGCUUUCCUGCAAGAUUUUAAGAGACUGUGUGCACUGCAUAGAAUCAGUGCAGAGGACUGGGUACCUAUUUUGGCAGGAAGGUUAACUGGGAGGGCAGCAGAGGCAUAUCAUACUGUACCCAAUGAGGAAAUCCGGAAUUACAAUAAAG